UACGUAGGGUGCAAGCGUUAAUCGGAAUUACUGGGCGUAAAGCGUGCGCAGGCGGUUUUGUAAGUCUGUCGUGAAAGCCCCGGGCUCAACCUGGGAAUUGCGAUGGAGACUGCAAGGCUUGAAUCUGGCAGAGGGGGGUAGAAUUCCACGUGUAGCAGUGAAAUGCAUAGAGAUGUGGAGGAACACCGAUGGCGAAGGCAGCCCCCUGGGUCAAGAUUGACGCUCAUGCACGAAAGCGUGGGGAGCAAACAGG
rnacentral:rRNA from 1 species